rnacentral:rRNA from 1 species
GGUGAACGCUGGCGGCGUGCUUAAGACAUGCAAGUCGAACGCAGUCUUCGGACUGAGUGGCGCACGGGUGAGUAACACGUAACUGACCUACCCCCAAGUCGCGGAUAACUGGCCGAAAGGUCAGCUAAUACGUGAUGUGAUGUCCCCUUUCUGGGGGGCCAUUAAAGGUUUACUGCUUGGGGAUGGGGUUGCGUUCCAUCAGCUAGUUGGCGGGGUAAAGGCCCACCAAGGCAACGACGGAUAGCCGGCCGGAGAGGGUGGCCGGCCACAGGGGCACUGAGACACGGGUCCAACUCCUACGGGAGGCAGCAGUUAGGAAUCUUCCACAAUGGGCGAAAGCCUGAUGGAGCGACGCCGCGUGAGGGAUGAAGGUUCUCGGAUCGUAAACCUCUGAAUCAGGGACGAAAGACGCGUAAGCGGGAUGACGGUACCUGAGUAAUAGCACCGGCUAACUCCGUGCCAGCAGCCGCCGUAA